UAGGGUUUCGACCUUGAUUUGUGUUGGGUUUUAGGGCUUCCUGGGGAUAUCGAUUUGGGGUUUUAGGGUUUCUUUGGGAUAUCGAAUUGGGAGUUUCCUUUGAAAUUAGAUUUGGGAUAACGAUUUAGAGAUGGGGUGAUUGAAAUAGAAUUGGGUUUUAUUCUGGUUUAUGGAUUUGGGGAUGGUUUAUGGUUCAUUUCGAUUUGGGAUGGUUUAUGGUUAUUCAGAAUCUAAGGCUCUGACUCCUCUCUAAUAGUGCUCCUCCCUCUCAAUCUUCAGCCUCCAUGACUCUAUAUCUGAUGCCUGAGAUUUAGUUCCUCGUUUUUUCUGUUGGGUUUUCUGAAAUUUUCACUUCUUAUUGAUUGGGACAUUGGGUAUAUGAAAUCUAUGUUUGAGUAUAUGAAAUCCAUGUUUGGGUUUAUUGAUUGGAUGGUUGCUGGCUUGCUGCAAUUGCUUAUUGUUUGGAAUUGAUGCUUUGUUAAUGGAGUGAUGGUUGUUUGACGUUUAUUUAAACAAUUGCUGAUUGUUUGAUUGUUUGGAUUAUACAUUCGUAGCUGGUGGGACAAUUGCUUAGACUCCUUGCUUCUCAAUUGCAAUUUGAGGUUAUGCUUGUCCCCACAUUAAUUUUUCAUUCUAUUAACUUUGUUAGCUGGACUUUAUUACCUGCAGUUGAUUUUCAUGAAUGGAUUAUUACGUCUUUCUUAAUUUCUUGGAUUCUAGGCUCAUAGUGCUGGGAGAUGGUUCUGCACCUUUAUUCAUGGCAAGAGAACAUGUCAUUGUCUGAACCUUGCAACUGACUUCACUAUGCGAAGCCGGAGACUUUGGGAUUUUGAAAUUGCUUCAUGGUAUUGGAUUCUAGUCGAGGCAAAUCUGAACAAGGCAGAGUGCAGUUGCUGUCUUGGUUGCCGACGAAUUGGGAACCUGUUUUGAGUCGCUGUCCCUCAUUCUUUUAUUUGUAGAAUAGCAACGUGAUGCCCACCAACUGUUCGAUGAAAGGCCAAAGACAAUCUCUGCAGAAUUUGAUUGAGGUAGUCUUGGUGAGCUUUGUCUUAUUGACUUUUGCUUCUUCCCUUUCUUUGACUUUUAUUCUUCCUUUGAUAAGCCUUGGCAUUCAUCCUUGUUAAUUAAUCCACUGCCUCAUUACAAGAGUCCAGCAGAUUUUGACAAGAAUGCAUUAUAUUUGGCUCAUGCAUGAUUCCAUUGUCUGCUAACGCCACCAUUCAUUUUUUCUUCUUUUGCUUUUGCUUUUCACUUUGUCAUCUUCUGCAAUCAUCUGGAGCACUUUGUUAAUCAAGCUUUUCGUCUUAUUCAUAGCUUAAUUAAACUAGCCCCUUUGGUCUGCAACACCACCAGAACUUUAAUUUUUGUUUUUAUAUAUGUUGCUUUGUGCUUUGGUGUGUUGGAGAAAACUUGAUCAUGUGAUUAUGCUCCAUUAAGUGACUUUCCAAGAGGUGGCUCUGUCAUCUUCACUGAUGGAGAACGAUAGGCCACACAUCCCUUUUUCUUUUAUUUAUUUUUUUAUGAACUGCACUCUUGUAGCUCAUUUGGUUUUCUUCUUUGACACUUUUUUGAGAGAAACCACCGAGCUCAUUUUGAUUUGAAGAGCAGCAGAGCCAAAGUUUCAAAGACUCUUUGCUCGGAUUUUUUUUGUUUGGAUGCAAUAUGAUAACAGCAAGCUGUUUUGACAAGAAAGCUUUAUGCUUUUCUUUUUGUUUCCUCCUUGCUGUCGGUGAGGAUUGACAGAGAUGGGUGCUUUUGAACUCGGUUUGCUUGACAUUCCUUGCAGGUUUGUUGCUGGUUUUGGUCAAGGCGACUUUGAGCAGAGCAGUUUUGUGGUGCUGCUGGGAUUUGAAGAUGAUGUUUGGCUGAGUAGUGGGUAAAUGAAACUCUACCUAGAUUAUCUCCUCGUCUUGGAGUGGAAAUGGUUCAGAAGAAAAUAGCUGCAGCCUUGAAACAUUAGUGGGUUCUGGCUUUCCUUGUAAUCAAAGUUAAGUAUUCUUCUCUGUAAUGUAGGUCUUCAAUUGUAAGAAAUUAUAUUUUGGAAUAUUCAGAUCAACUUUUGUAGCCAAUACUUUAAUUGAAUGGUCAGACAAAUUGUUUUGAAAAAAAAAAAAAAAAAAGAGAUGAUCAGUCUUCAGUAAUAGUCAAAUUGUAUUACCUGCAAUUCGGAAGUGCAAGACUUGGUGUUUGGUAAGCAUUUUUAGGUUUAACUCUACAACUGAAGUUUGGUUUGUAUUUUUGAGACUUAACUAGUAAUAUAUGUAUAUAUAUUACAUGAUUUCGCAGGAUAUAGGGGAAGGAGUUCUUGCUUCAUGUGGGUCUUAUUUUAAGUAAAAGCUUGGAGUUAGGCUCAUUAGGCUAGCAUUGGAAGCGGAUGAUUGGCUUACACACAGAAGGAUAUUGAUGUGGUUUGAGCUGAAUGGGCAAAUCAUGUUAUGCAGUUCUAACUUUGGUUCUGUUUAAGGUAGAUGAGUAGCACUUGGAACUGCUUUUGUGCAUUUAUAUAUAACUGAUGGAAAGUGUUGAUGAACUUAAAUUAUGCAUGCAGUUGCUCUGUCUAGCUACUCUUUCUUUACCUUAUAGGUUUUUGACUUUGUGCACUAGGUAAAUGAUCGAGAUAAGAUGGUUUUUUGGUUCUCUUGAUCAUAAUGUAACUGUUGGCUAGGUUUAGAGUUGGAACUAUGGAUUGUAUUUUGGAUGAUGUUGAUGCAAUUAAUGAAACGUAGCCAUCAUUUUCAAUGCUGA